rfam:Thalassospira sp. TSL5-1 contig0001, whole genome shotgun sequence.
GGAGAGAUGGCAGAGUGGUUGAAUGCACCGGUCUUGAAAACCGGCGUGCCUUUACGGGUACCCAGGGUUCGAAUCCCUGUCUCUCCG